GAUCGUAUCGUCCAGUGGUUAAGACACCACAUUGUGGAGGAGCCAUUUGGCAUACUUUGCUGUGGAGACCCGCGUUCAAUUCGCGGUACGGUCA